rnacentral:rRNA from 1 species
UGGGGAAUAUUGGGCAAUGGGCGAAAGCCUGACCCAGCAACGCCGCGUGAGUGAUGAAGGCCUUCGGGUUGUAAAACUCUUUGGACAGGGACGAAGAAAGUGACGGUACCUGUAGAACAAGCCACGGCUAACUACGUGCCAGCAGCCGCGGUAAUACGUAGGUGGCAAGCGUUGUCCGGAAUUAUUGGGCGUAAAGCGCGCGCAGGCGGACUAGCCAGUCAGUCUUAAAAGUUCGGGGCUUAACCCCGUGAUGGGAUUGAAACUACUAGUCUAGAGUAUCGGAGAGGAAAGUGGAAUUCCUAGUGUAGCGGUGAAAUGCGUAGAUAUUAGGAAGAACACCAGUGGCGAAGGCGACUUUCUGGACGAACACUGACGCUGAGGCGCGAAAGCCAGGGGAGCGAACGGG